rnacentral:lncRNA from 1 species
UAUGUCCACUCACGCCCAAAGCUUCCCAACAGACUUGGAUUGCAAAUAAAGUGGCCAAAAAAGAAACCAAGAUCGUGAUGCUGCUUAACCAAAAGAGGGGGAAAUAAACCACAAAUCUCACAUCUCUUCUUGACCGGUCCUACUCUGAGCUCCAUCAGAGGGAUUUUUCUUGUAUGGGUUAUCUUUUACAUGUUUUUGCCCCAGUGCCAGUAUGACCAAAGGCUUUAACACUUGAAAAGUAGUAACAGCAGUGAAGUUCCCUCUUUGUGAUCUGUCUUGCUAGCCCUUGAGUCAAGGUGCAUUUGUCCUGUACCUGCCAUUGGACUAUUGGCCUUUUGCUAAACCAAAACAAUCUAGGCCAUACCGAAAUUGAAAGAAGGCCUUCCUACUCUGCGGCUGUUGUGCAAUCAGUGCUCAUCAAGGAUGGCUGAAGGCACAAGAUGAAACACACCCUGCGUUUGAGGCUAAGGUAUAUUAACCUUUCCACUUGGAAUGCCUAAUUGCUCAAAUAUUGCCAACAUUGUUCAAACUGCCAGAUAUGUUAGGGAACAGGCAGAACUGGAGGGACAACUCUAUAUAAGGGGUAUGACAAAUUUAUUGGGUAAAUUGUAUGGGAGUGCUUAACUCCUCUCUCUGUUCUGUUUUUUUGUAAGGACAACUGCCAAGUAGAGUUGAUCAUGACUAAUUCAUGUGAGGAAAUACAACAGAGAAGUUAAACAGCAACAACCAGUUUAAUUUCACUUGUUACCAAUAAGGCCUAACUUAAUUUUCAAAAGGAGAUGAAAGGGUUACCACCUUCCUCUCCCAUGUGGACGUUGAGUGACACAGGUGAAGUCUUCAGCUGUCCUUCUGAUCCUGAUGGGCCCACCAAAAGCACCAAGGAGCAACCAGCCCUGGCUGAAAAGCAGUGCAGGAGCACAGGAGCCAGAGCCGUGUGGCCAGCGAUGGAGACAAGGAAGAGAGAGAGGGCAUCCCUGCCCCAUCCCUCACAGGGGAUCAGGCUUUUCUCAAGGAUGGUGGAACACUGGGGCUGCUGCCGUGGGGCCCAGUGGCCGCACAGGACCCCCAGACUGGAGGUGCAGGGGUGGAGAACGUGGGGUACCUCAUCAUGGAUGUCAUCGUCAUCAUCAUGGUCACAGCCCAUGUGGGAACAGCGGGACGGGCAGCAUGGACACUGAUACCUGCCCGGUGACAGGCGCAUUCCUCGGCCCCACCGCAUCCACUCAGCCCUGGCUCACGCAAUAAUUAGCCAAGUGUUUCCUGGCUGCCUUUAAUUACAGCCACAGCUAUUUCCCUGGCUCUAAUGUAACGCCUCUGAACGACAGCAAAGGUUUUGGGCUGCAUCCCGCGCGCAGCCCGGUCCCAGCACGUGUUGGGGCGCAGCCGUGCACCGGCAGCCGCUGAU